rnacentral:misc_RNA from 1 species
AACGCACAUUGCGCCCCUUGGUAUUCCGAGGGGCAUGCCUGUUCGAGCGUCAUUAUGACCAAUCCCGCAAAGGGGUCUUGGGGCUCGCCAUCUCUCGGCGUCUCUUAAAAUCAGUGGCGGUGCCAUCGUGCUCUAAGCGUAGUAAUUCUUCUCGCUAUAGGGUUCUGGUGGAUGCUUGCCAACAACCUCAAUCUUCUUAGGUUGACCUCGGAUCAGGUAGGGAUACCCGCUGAACUUAA